AAGUCGUAACAAGGUUUCCGUAGGUGAACCUGCGGAAGGAUCAUUAACACGUUAUACACGUAUCUACAUCUCUGUGAACCUAUUUUACUAAGUUGGCAGCCAGCGUAGCAAUGGGGGUAGAUUUUUACUAUGUCGACUGAAGAACUCCUGGAUUUCCGGAGUUUGUUUGGUUGUUCUACCUGCCUAUCCGACACAACUCGUCGUUGUUUUUUGGGUAUUCUGGCUCAUAUGACUUGAAUCAUAGUAGUAUCUCUAUUCAACCUUUUUACUAAUCUGUAAGAAUUUGUGAUGGCUGUGUUAAUUCGCAGCUCACGUUAAAAAAACACUAUACAACUCUUAGCAACGGAUAUCUCGGUUCU
rnacentral:misc_RNA from 1 species